GGGGGCGGGGAGGCUAAAGACAGACACAGGUGCAGUCCAGGAGCCUGAGUCCUAGGCGAGAACCAGAAUGGGAGUGGUUGGUGCCUGGCAUGCAGGUGGGCGCCUUGAGGGGUCCCCACCUGUGAGCCAUCGUGAGGGACUUGUGGCCACUGCAGUGUGGAUGUACCAGCCAGGGCAGGAGACCCCCAGCCUCAGACAGCAUUGCCCUCUGUGUGCCCCUCUGGCCGGCAUCCCUGUUCCAACCCCGGCAGGUGGGGAGAGUGGCCAGCAGGUUGCCAAGCUGGCUGAUGACCCUCCUGGAAUGAGACAGGACCAUGGAAGACAUUUUUAAACAUUGUGUCAAGAAAGCAAAACCAAGGGAGGCACAAUCCCCCUCGACCUUGAUGCCGGAUUCGCACCUGCUGGCAGAAGGGAGGCCCAUGCAUCACCAACCCCCGUGUGCUGGUUCCCCGAGGCUCAAGGUCAUGAGAGACGUGGAAGGCCUCCCAGAUGUGGUCCUCGCUGUCGCCAGCCUUCACCUUCCAGGCCAUCAGGCCCAGGAGCUCGGGGAAACCCACAGGGCCCCUGCCGUCGCAGUCCAGUUCACCCACCACUUUCUGGAGCUCGGCCUUGGUGGGUGAGAAGCUGAGAGCUGAGCAUCACACCUGGAGAUGGAGCCUGGCGGGAAGACGAGCUCAUGUUGGCAAAGCUGCAUGCUGGCAGAUAACAGCCUCUUUUCCAGCCCUGGGGCAGUUUCCAGCUUCUCCAGUCACGUUCAACCCACAGCUGUAGCCGGAGAAGCCAGAGGGGAGAGAGCUACUCCAACCAUGGGAGGAAGCCUGCUGCUUCCGGAUCCCAUCAUAGAGCCCCGCUGGGGAGGGGCCAGAGUGGGAGCCCCCCACGGUCCUCCAUCCUCGAGCGCAGAGGAGAUGGGAGAGAGGCAGCGGUCUCUGCCUGGGGCUGGUCCACCCUAGCUCAGCUGAAACACAGGCUUCUCCAGCCCAGAGUCCAUGGGGUUGGACAGAAGGCAGUUUGGGGCCCCUCCCACCCAGACUGUGGGGCAGGCCCAGGACGCAUGCCUGUCGUAGAUGCUGGCCCUUCAGGAGUGGCUGCCCUGGGUAGGUUGGGGCUGGGAUGAAAGCCUGAGGCCUGGUCUCUGGGUCACUGUGUUGGGUAACUGCUGGCCAUGUUUGUAGAGCAUGCACACUCUUGUGUUCUGAUCUCUGCAGACCGUCCUUGAAGGAUGUGUGCUCCUGGGUCUGGGUAAUGUUUUUCCUUUCUCUUAAAAGAUAGACUUCUAAGAGCAGCUUUAGGUUCACAGCUAAACUAGGUGGAAAGUGUGACAUUUCAAUAUUCCUCCUCCCUCACACCCGUGGCUUCCCCGUCAUCAUCUCCACCGGUUGGUACUUGUGUUACAACUGAUGACCCCACAUGGACAUGUCAUUAUGACCCAGAGUCCACAGUUGACAUCAGGGGUCACUGUAGGUGGUGUGUGUCCUGUGGGUUUGGCCAAACAAAUAAUGACACAUAUAUUAUACAUCAAUACAGUAUCAUACAGAGAAGUUUCACUGCCCUAAAAACUCUCUGCUCUCCACCUGUUCAUCCCUCCCUCGCCACAAUCCCUCAAAAUCAGACCUUUUUAUCCUUGGCAUAUCUUGCCUUUUCCGUGACAUCAAACUAGUUGCAAUCAUAUAGCGUGUAGCCUUUGUUUCCUCCAUGUCUUCAUGACUUGACAGCUCGCUUAUUUUAGCAUGUAAUAAUAUUCCCAUCUGGAUGCCCUGUAGUUCAUUUAUCCAUCACCUACUGAAGGACACUUUGGUUGUUUUCAAGCUUUGGCAAUUAUGAAUAAAGUCACUGUGAAAAAGCA
ensembl:lncRNA